AGUGGUGGGGUUGGAAAGUUUCGGCGGUUGGGGAUGGACUCGCGGCUUAUCAGCUUGUUGGUGGGGUAGUGGCUCACCAAGGCUUUGACGGGUAGCCGGCCUGAGAGGGUGACCGGCCACAUUGGGACUGAGAUACGGCCCAGACUCCUACGGGAGGCAGCAGUGGGGAAUAUUGCACAAUGGGUGGAAGCCUGAUGCAGCAACGCCGUGUGCGGGAUGACGGCCUUCGGGUUGUAAACCGCUUUCGCUCAUGACGAAGCUUCGUGUGACGGUAGUGGGUAAAGAAGCACCGGCUAACUACGUG
rnacentral:rRNA from 1 species